rnacentral:rRNA from 1 species
AGGACGAACGCUGGCGGCGUGCUUAACACAUGCAAGUCGAGCGGAAAGGCCCUUCGGGGUACUCGGGCGGCGAACGGGUGAGUAACACGUGAGCAACCUGCCCUUAGCUUCGGGAUAGCUCCGGGAAACCGGAAUUAAUACCGAAUAUGAUUUUUGCUGACAUCAGCAGAAGUGGAAAGUUUUUCGGCUAGGGAUGGACUCGCGGCCUAUCAGCUAGUUGGUGAGGUAACGGCCCACCAAGGCGACGACGGGUAGCCGGCCUGAGAGGGCGACCGGCCACACUGGGACUGAGACACGGCCCAGACUCCUACGGGAGGCAGCAGUGGGGAAUAUUGCGCAAUGGGCGAAAGCCUGACGCAGCGACGCCGCGUGGGGGAUGAAUGCCUUCGGGUUGUAAACCCCUUUCAGCAGGGACGAAGCGAAAGUGACGGUACCUGCAGAAGAAGCGCCGGCUAACUACGCGCCAGCAGCCGC